rnacentral:rRNA from 1 species
UAAAGAUUCAUCGCUGAUAGAUAGGCAUGCGUUCCAUUAGGCAGUUGGCGGGGUAACGGCCCACCAAACCGACGAUGGAUAGGGGUUCUGAGAGGAAGGUCCCCCACAUUGGUACUGAGACACGGACCAAACUCCUACGGGAGGCAGCAGUGAGGAAUAUUGGUCAAUGGGCGUAAGCCUGAACCAGCCAAGUCGCGUGAGGGAUGAAGGUUCUAUGGAUCGUAAACCUCUUUUAUAAGGGAAUAAAGUGUGGGACGCGUCCUAUUUUGUAUGUACCUUAUGAAUAAGGAUCGGCUAACUCCGUGCCAGCAGCCGCGGUGAUACGGAGGAUCCGAGCGUUAUCCGGAUUUAUUGGGUUUAAAGGGUGCGUAGGCGGCCUUUUAAGUCAGCGGUGAAAGUCUGUGGCUCAACCAUAGAAUUGCCGUUGAAACUGGGGGGCUUGAGUAUGUUUGAGGCAGGCGGAAUGCGUGGUGUAGCGGUGAAAUGCUUAGAUAUCACGCAGAACCCCGAUUGCGAAGGCAGCCUGCCAAGCCAUGACUGACGCUGAUGCACGAAAGCGUGGGGAUCAAACAGGAUUAGAUACCCUGGCAGUCCACGCAGUA